rnacentral:tRNA from 1 species
GCCCCGGUAGCUCAGUGGAUAGAGCGGCCGCCUCCUAAGCGGCAGGUCGCCGGUUCGAUUCCGGCCCGGGGCACCA